UCACCUCACCCCAGUACUUCUUCGGUCUACCCCUACCCCGUCUAAAACCAUCCAACGCUAGCCUCUCACACCUACGGACCGGGGCAUCCAUGCCCCUCCUCUUCACGUGUCCGAACCAUCUCAAUCGUGCUUCCCGCAUCUUACACUCCACUGAAGUCACCCCAACCUUCUCCCGGAUAGUCUCAUUCCGAGCUCUAUCCCUUCGGGUC
rnacentral:lncRNA from 1 species